rnacentral:rRNA from 1 species
GGGCCCGCACAAGCGGUGGAUUAUGUGGAUUAAUUCGAUGCAACGCGAAAAACCUUACCUGGCCUUGACAUGUACCGAAUUUAGCAGAGAUGCUUUAGUGCUCGUAAGAGAACGGUAACACAGGUGCUGCAUGGCUGUCGUCAGCUCGUGUCGUGAGAUGUUGGGUUAAGUCCCGCAACGAGCGCAACCCUUGCCAUUAAUUGCCAUCAUUUAGUUGGGCACUUUAAUGGGACUGCCGGUGACAAACCGGAGGAAGGUGGGGAUGACGUCAAGUCCUCAUGGCCCUUAUGGCCAGGGCUUCACACGUAAUACAAUGGUCGGUACAGAGGGCUGCUAACCCGCGAGGGGGUGCUAAUCUCAGAAAACCGAUCGUAGUCCGGAUUGUUGUCUGCAACUCGACAGCAUGAAGUCGGAAUC